rfam:Loxodonta africana unplaced genomic scaffold scaffold_21, whole genome shotgun sequence.
ACCUGGGUGGUACAAAUGGUUAAUGCACUUGACUGCUAACCAAAAGGUUGGAGGUUCAAGUCCACCCAGAGGUG